AUGCAGGACUCAAUCCAGGAUCCCGGAAUCACGACCUGAGCCCAAGGCAGCCACCCAACCGGAAAAAGGCACCAUGAAUUACAACCAAUACUUUGCUGGAUCUUUUUCAUACGGAGUUUUAUGUUGCACAUAUGAGACAAGAUGCCAGAAUGGUGCACAUUAGAAACCUUGCAUCUGCAUAUUUACCUAGAAAGAAUAAAUUAUAUACUAGGUAAGACUGGAGCUCUGAAGUACAGUCUGUCAUGAAAAGAGGCAUAUGGAAUGAAUAUUUACAGAAAAUAAUGUCAUGCAAAUUGCAAAACUCCAAUAUACUAGCAAGAAAGAAAAUACCAAAAGUGAAGGAAAAAUACAAAAUAGAGGAAAAAUGAAUUGUAAAAGGACCCCAUGUAUGGAGGUAUAUGUAUAAGGAGCAGACUACACUGGAUCAAGGAUAGAGCAAGAUUCUAGUUCAAAGGCUGCUAUAAUAAUCCAGUAACAAGUCUAGGCAGGACUAUCUUAAGGUAACAAUUUCUUAAUUAACUAUUGCAAAUCAUCGUAAGGAAUUAAGAAGCUUAAGAUUCUAUUCUCCAAGUAGGUUAUCGGGUAAGUGCUUUCACUAAAUUUAGGGGGGUUUUUUGGUUAAUUAAAAAAUAAUUAGCAUUGGCCACACUUUUCAACUUUUUUGCAUUAUAUUCCAUUCAACACACUUUCCUAGGAAUGAUGUUCUAGCAUGUGUUAAACUUUUCAAGGAAAGAAAUGAAACUUUUAGGUAUUGAUUAAUUUCAAAAUAUGAUUCUAAUUAGAACAAAAUCACUUAUCCUUUUUAACCUAUCACUAUAAAUUAUUCUAUAUUAAAAUUAGACAAAUGAAAUAUUAACUGAAGAAGGCUAUAAUCUAGAAAAUUAGAAUGACAUGUUCCUAAAAUUUUAAGACUUUGAAAAAAUCAUUACCCAAUAUAUGUCUUUAAAUCAUUCACAUAAAUAUUGCACUGAAACUAAGAGUGAAGGAAGCUGUUCUAGGGGAUGGGUUACAGCUCAAUGAGAUUCAUAGACUAGGAAUUCUGUUAUUUUUUAGCAAUUUAUUGUGAGUUUAGCAAAGUGUUUAUAGUAGUGUCUCAUUUGUUAUUGAUUCAUGAGAAAUUUGAAGGCUGAUUAUUUGGCAUUCUUAAAAAUACUUUGUACUAAGUUUUUAAAAUGUUACUCCUUCAUAUUUUAAAACUUUUAGGUCCUCCAAAAAGGAAGUCUCUUGCAUUGAUCACUGAUCUUUUCUGUUCCCCUGCCCAAGGGAUGAAGGAGAAUUACCCUCUUUAUUAACUAUGAUUCCUUUGGUUGCAAAUGUCAGAAGACCCAAUGAGUUAGAAAAAAGAUAAAUAUUUGUCUCCCCUAACCAGAAAGUCCAGAGGAGGACUUGCCUCAGGCUUUAUUAUGAUUGAUACUGUGUAUGGUUUUAACUACCAUCUUCCUUUAAGAUUCCUUCCAUCUUCCUUAUAGUCUCAUGUCUCUGCUCCUCUUUACAGCAAAACUCCUUGAAAGAGUUGUCCAUACUCAGGAAUUUCAUUUCUGCAUUCUCCAUGCUUUGAUGAUAGUGCUGGGCAUGAAAGCUGUGUGUCCAUCACUGAGCUAGAUCACAGGAACACUCCCAGCCUAAGGGGAUGAGGCCUCCUUUCAUAACACCACUAGCCCCCACAUUCUAGGGUAUCCCAGCUUCUCAACACCAACAACAGCUUUCCUUUCCAAGAUCAGCCGCAAGUGGUGAGCUAGGGUAGGAACAGGGAGAGGAAGCUCUAGACACCAGGGAGAGUCUCUGGGAACAGGAUGUUCACUCAGAGUCCCCAUUUCUCAGCUCCCAGGUGGUUUUUCUCCACUCCUACCCCUCCCAGGUUUUUUUCCACAUUCCUUCCUCUCCUGUGAGUAGUUCCUUUGCCUUCCUUUCCCUGUUCUCCAGCCCAGGCUUCUAAGAACUCAAAGAACCUCUGAAUCUCUCAGCCUGACAUUUCAGCUACCAGCCUUUCUCUACAAAUGCCCUAGUCUUGGGGGCUGCUUCAGAUGUAGGUGACAGUUGUCCAGAGACAAGGACUUGGGAAGGAAGAGUUGUCAGGGUACUUCUAACAACAAAAGGAAAUAUUCAAGGUAUAGAUUAAUACCUUGAGAUAUUAUCCAGCCACAGUUUUUGUGUUGUUGUUAUUCUUUCGUUAUUUUAUGUUUUAUGUUGUUAUUAUUCCAACUGAUGCUAAAUUAACAUUAGCAUCUCCAAAUCUCACACUUCCAACAACAUAACUAGAGUUGAAUUUUUAUUUUCCAGGGGAAAAAAGGAGAGAGGUAAGUUUAAAUUAUAUCUCUAACUUGGGAGAAAUAUCUUCAAGCUAGCAUUAUCCAUUCAGUGGGACAUUUAUUAUCCUUAAACCGGUAAGUCCCUCGUUGAAUAAAUUAUUCUACAUUCCUGCAAUAAAAAAAAUAUGCAGCCAUUAUAAGAAUGAGGUGGGUCUCCAUGUGCUGUUAUGAAACCAUCUUUAAGACACUGUUAAAUUUAGAACAGCAAAGUAUAAAAUGAUCAAAUCCCAUUUGUGCAUGUGUUUUAAAAUAAUGCUACUUAAAUUUUUAACAUACCUUUAAAUUACACUUUCAUGUAUAUACAUGAAAAAUUUCUGGAGGCAUACAUUAGAAACUAUUGAAUGGCAUUACCUCCAGUGAGUGACACUAUGGCUAAGGAUCGACUAAUCAUUUUUAAUUGGAUAGACUUUUACUGUUUGAUUUUUUUUUCCAUGUGCACAUAAUUUCACAAUACGAAAAUAAACACAAUUCAAUUCUUUACUCAACUAUAUUUGAAGGUCUAUGUUCUUUCAAAGCAUAUGCAAGUUAGGUCAACAAGGGAUUCAGAUUUUUGCUUACAAAUAUUUUUUCAGAAGUGGCUCAGGCAUGGGAAAUUAAUUCGAAAUCUCAUCCUUAAAUGGUCUCCUCUCCCUGCAGGGUCUCUGACAAAUACAUAUACACAGAGGAAAAUUAAUCAAAUAAACACUUGAUUGCUCUGAGUCUGCAAUCCAGCAGCAUGCUAAGCCACAGAAGACCACCUGGAGACUCAUGCCUAGGUUAGGCAAGCCUAUAUAACCUGGAAUCAAAACAACAAAAAUGGCCACUUUUGCCUCUUUCUGUCUCAUGCCUUCAAUUAAAUGAGAUCUUCCCACUCCAAAGCAAGGAAGUCCGAUACAGAAUACACCAAAGAGAAAAACUGGCAAAGCACUAGAGCAUUUGCCCAUGCCCAGAGCAGUGAGAGCUGAUCUACAAAGUCUGAGCCCAGACUGUUCUCAAGAAAUAGGCCAUCAACUUGGUGGCCAUCAGCAAGAGGCUCCCAAGGGAGUGGGACAUCAGGACAGAGACAGAACAUAUCCAGAAGUAUUGCCCUAGUAACCAUCAUUGACGCUGGGAAAGGGCCUCUACUUUGGGGUAGACUCAAAUGCCUGUCCUUAGCUAUUUGCAAUCAAAGAAUAAGGAAGGCAAUCCACUCCUGCUAGGAGCCAGCCCUAAAUUUACUUCAUACAGAGUAUUUCUUCAAGAUCCAGCUGUUUGCAUGGAGACACCAUCUGGUUGGCAAAGUCACUUUUUAAAAUGUAUUUGCAAAUGGUCACCAAUGUAUUUACCUUGAUUAAAUGUGUCAUCUUUCAUUUCAGAACUAAUUUGAAUUAAAUUUGGCUAGUAUUUUAGAGGAUGACAGAUUAUUUCAGUCUGGUAGAAACAUUAACAUUGAGAAGCCAAAUGACAAAAAGCAUCAAAUCAAAUGGAACUCUGAGGACUACUUCAUUGAAAUAACAACAACAUCAUCUUUAAGUGUUUUUCCAUACAAGAUAGCAUUCUAAUGCCCAGCCCCCAACAUUAUCUCACCACAAGAAAACACACACCCAAAAAAGAGUCAGUGGUCCAAGCUAUGGCAGAUGUUUUAAAUGUUUGUUGGGCUAAUAUUUAAAAUACUGGUCAUAGAUAUUUAUUUAUAACAUCUUUAACAUCCAUGUAUUUCCGAAUUUCAAAUGGUGCCUAGAACAAAGUAGGCAAGCAAUAAAUAUCUGUAGAAUAAAUGAAUGAAUAUUCAAAAGAAGUCUUAAAACAAAAGAAUAUUCUUUAGUGAACCCUGUUUAUUAACAGUUUUAUUCAGUUAUCUCAAUCUUUUAUUGCAUCUUUUCUAAUUAUAUUGUGCUUUUCAUCAUCUUCAGAACUGAAAAUAUUUCUUAGUAAAAUAGGAGGCAAUAAUAUAUAUGUGCAGUGUCACUCCACUCCUCCAUCAAUUAUAUAUUUUAAGAAAUUUGAGGGACACCUGGGUGACUCAGUGGUUGAGCGUCUGCCUUUGGCUCAGGGCAUGAUCCCAGGAGUCCAGGAUCAAGUCCUACAUCGGGCUCUG